rnacentral:rRNA from 1 species
UGGGGAAUAUUGGGCAAUGGGUGAAAGCCCGACCCAGCGACGCCGCGUGGGUGAUGAAGGCCUUCGGGUUGUAAAACCCUUUCGUGCGGAAAGAAUAGUCCUGUAGCGAAUAACUACGGGAUUUGACGGUACCGCAGGAAGAAGCACCGGCUAACUCCGUGCCAGCAGCCGCGGUAAUACGGAGGGUGCAAGCGUUGGUCGGAAUUAUUGGGCGUAAAGGGCGCGUAGGUGGUUGUGAUAGUCAGAUGUGAAAUCCUUCGGCUCAACCGAAGAACCUCAUCCUAAACCUCAUUGCUCGAGUACCGGAGAGGGGAACGGAAUCCCCGGUGUAGGGGUGAAAUUCGUAGAUAUCGGGAGGAACACCAGUUGCGAAGGCGGUUUCCUGGCCUGAUACUGACGCUGAGGCGCGAAAGCGUGGGGAGCAAACAG